UACGUAGGGGGCUAGCGUUGUCCGGAAUCAUUGGGCGUAAAGAGCGUGUAGGCGGUCCGGUAAGUCCGCUGUGAAAGUCGGGGGCUCAACCCUCGAAUGCCGGUGGAUACUGCCGGGCUAGAGUCCGGAAGAGGCGAGUGGAAUUCCUGGUGUAGCGGUGGAAUGCGCAGAUAUCAGGAGGAACACCAAUAGCGAAGGCAGCUCGCUGGGACGGUACUGACGCUAAGGCGCGAAAGCGUGGGGAGCGAACAGG
rnacentral:rRNA from 1 species